GGAGGGGUGUCCGAGAGGUCGAAGGUGACAGACUCGAAAUCUGUUGUACCGCAAGGUACCCAGGGUUCGAAUCCCUGCCCCUCCGCCA
rnacentral:tRNA from 3 species